UGUGUAGGCGGUUCUUUAAGUUUGGUGUGAAAUCUCCCGGCUUAACCGGGAGGGUGCGCCGAAUACUGAGGGACUAGAGUACGGGAGAGAAAAGUGGAAUUCCUGGUGUAGCGGUGAAAUGCGUAGAUAUCAGGAGGAACACCGGUGGUGUAGACGGCUUUCUGGACCGUAACUGACGCUGAGACACGAAAGCGUGGGUAGCAAACAGGAUUAGAUACCCUGGUAGUCCACGCCCUAAACGAUGCAUAUUUGGUGUGGGUCAUUCAGUUGAUCCGUGCCGGAGCUAACGCGUUAAAUAUGCCGCCUGGGGAGUACAGUCGCAAGGCUGAA
rnacentral:rRNA from 1 species